UUUUUUUUUUUUUUUUUUUUUUUUGUCUUUUUACCAUUUCUUGGGCCGCUCCUGUGGCAUAUGGAGGUUCCCAGGCUAGGGGUCAAAUUGGAGCUGUAGCCGCCGCUCCUGUGUUGCUGUGGCUGUGGCGUAAAUGAGCAGCUACAGCUCUGAUUCAAUCCCUAGCCUGGGAACAUCCACAUGCCACAGGUGUGGCCCUAAAAAGAAUCAAAUCGAAUUGAAUCAAAUAGAAUAGAAUAAAUAAAAGUAAAAGCAGGCCUUGCACUGGUAAAACCUGUAGUCUUCCUCCCUAGAGAGGUUCUUGACUGCAGUGGGAAAGACCCCUUGGGCACCUUGGAGAGACUCGAUCUCAGAGUUGCUCCAUCCAAUUUGCAAAGCUCAGGAAGGUGUAUGUUUUGGGUACCCUCCCCCCCCAUCUCCCUUCUCAGCCCAGAAUCAAGAACUAUCCUCCUUUGCAUCUGGCCACUCCCUCUCUCCCAGGGUGGGUGGGGUCCCCCCCUCACCCCCAUGCUUCAUUCCCGCAGAGUAAUGCUGUGGCUUCUCGCAGCUUGAACCUGCAAAGUUUCCCAGGUGGUUCUAGGUGUUUUCAAGGUUACAGGAGUGACCUCAGGCUCAGCAGGGCCCCGUCUCCUAUGACCCACCCUAGCUUGAUCAACGGUGUCCCCAGGCUGUCACAAACAAGGGGUUGUGGGCCGUCACGUGGCCCUGAGUAACCACACUCUUGCUUCCUUCUUUUAUACACGGCCAUUGAGGGUUGGUGCCGUCAGAGACAACGGCAGGGGUGCCACGGCAGUGCACAGGCUGGGUCCUUGUCGCUAAAGCAGGGAAGACACUUCUGGGCCCACGAGACAGCUGUCCCAUGCUCUACUGAGCACGGUAAGUGCCAGUGUGCAAAACCACAGGGAGUGGCUGGCGGGGGUUGCUUUCCACGACCGGUGGGCCUGCCUGACAGCUAAGGGCAGGCUGGGGACAGAACCUGGGUAGGGCCUGAGCUGCAGCCCCUGUAGGGCCGGGCACCCCAAAGCUCUAGGCACUUGGCAUUGAGGUCCACCUGGAGUUUGUGGCCUUAUCUGGCGGUCUUUUCCAGAUCCUGCUCCCCUCAAUGCCUGUCCUGGCCUUUCUGCAGGGCUGGCUUGGCAGCUAUCCUGAAUUAAAAAACCUGGAGAAAUCAGGAGUGUUUCCCUCAAAAUUAUGCUACCCCUUCUUUCAUGGGUGGGAAAAUUAAGGUCCAGGGAGGGGAAGGGAUUUGCUCAGGCUAUGGAUCGUUCCAAAGCUGUGUUCUUCACAUUUUUGUAAGGUUAAGAGUAAUACUUGUCCAUGGCAAAUCAUUACAAUAGUUGAAUUAAAAUACUAUUGCUAGCAAAAGAGAAAUAAUGUGGAGAGUUCUCAUAUUAAUUUUUAUCUGGGAAAACAGACAAAAAUUUGUAUCUGGGGUGUUUAGGGGUAUAAAGGAGGAUAGUGAGGAGGCUGAUGGCUAAACCAGCGCCCCCCUACACACACACACCACACACACACACACACACACACACACACACACACACAGAUAAGGAUUAACAUAGGCUCCAGUCGCCCUCAAAUUCUCUUUUCCUCAGGCGGUGCCUCCCUUGGCCCCAGGCAGGCUGCACAUCCUAAGUGGUCGAUAUCUCCCUCACCAGGCUUAGCCGGCAGAUGGAGAUUAAGUCUCAGCAGAAAGGGCUGGGCUGCCAGGCUGAGCUCCCUAUGGGAACCUCUGCCCUCAGAGGGGCCGGGAAAUUAGCCGAGAACCCUGUGCCCCUUUUUACAGAUGAGAAAACCAAGGUUCAGAAGGGAGAAGCAGCUGCCCACGGCAUCAUGGCUGGGAAGGGGCCAAGCCUGGACCUGGGGUGGUGCCAUCUGGCUGCAGGACCCUCGUGGAGCCCACAGAGACCCCAGGCCUUGGGCCCUCCGUCUCUUUGGCUGAGCUGGAGCAGGAAGACGGUAGGGGUGGCCUCCUGAUAGAAAUAGGAUUGUAACCACUCAUACUGCCCACUGCAGGACAGGCUAUGAAAUCCGGAGAGGCAGAGUAGUAGAGCAAGGAAUAGAGACUUUAUUCAGAAAGUCAACAGACCCAGAAAAUGGCACACCAGUGCCCCAAAGAACCGUUUUCCCUGAGUUAGAAUUCAGGCUUCUUCUGUACUAAAGGGGGACGGGGUGCAGCUAGUUGUUGCAAACUUCUGCUGGAAUCCUUUGUUCCUACAGCUGUCCACUUAGUUCUGGUCACAAUGUUCCAGUAAACCUCCAACAAAACAUUGUUAUUUUCUGUUCUGUAACCUUUAAAUCCCUAUAUGAAUGCAGAAGUGUUAUACCUUUAAAGGUCAAGCCUGGGAGGCAGAGCCUUGAGAAUGGGCUCUUAUGUCUAUUUCAGGCUACAGGAGACAUUCUUUUACAAAAGUGCAGAGCCAGCAGGAGGAAGCACUGGUAACAGGGCACUGAAGGUUAGCACUGAAGGAGUAGAUCCAGCAUGGAGUCAGGCUGGUUCUUCUCUGUUACAAUUUGCCACAUUCCACAUGCUUGUGGGUAAAGGAGUGAUGACCACUCUGCCUGUCUCCUGCUGUGGGGGAUGGUGAUGGUGCAACUGAACCGAUCCACUUGGCACCGGGAAUAUUCUCACGUCUCAGGCUGAGCAUAAGCACUUUGUGUUAUGAGGACUCUCUCCCUCUUUUCAAUGGCCCUGUCCCAACACUUUGACAAGCACUUGAACGUAUGCAUAAACUCCAGCACUUGGGAUGAGGGUAUCUAGGCUGCUCUGCCCUGUGAAAUCUUUAUACGUUUUCCCUUUAUUUGGAGAUAGCUUGAUUUAAGUAUUUCCUUUCCAGUGUUCCUCUUGUGGCUUAGUGGGUUAAGAACCUGACAUAGUGCCUGCGAGGAUGCGGGUUAGAUCCCUGGCCUCACUCAGUGGGUUAAGGACCUGGUGCUGCCACAAGCUGUGGCAUAAAUUGCAGAUGUGGCUUGGAUCUGGUGUUGCUGUGACUGUGGAGGAGGCUUCAGUGGCAGUUCUGACUCUACCCCUAGCCUGGGUGUGGCCAUUAAAAGAAAAAAAAGUAUUUCCUUUCCAACAAGCAGCUGUCACUAAUGUAGUGAAACAAGAAAUUAGUGCAAAAGUCAUCAUUACCGAUCUGGUAGGAGGCUGGGCUCGAAACAGCAACUUAAGAUCUUCAAACAGCUUUUUUGUAAGAUCAAGUCUGCCGACCUGUUGCCUACAGAUUCUCCUGCCCCGGCAGACACCUGGAGUGGCCCACGACUGUUUUUCCAAAGGGCUUAAUUUAAGCCUGCUUAGUCCAUCACAGGGCAACUGGCAAGACCUAAUCCUAAGUUAAAUGAGUGAUUUCCAGUCAGUCUGACACCUGUUGGGUUACACUGGCGACAGGAGCAAGCCCACUG
rnacentral:lncRNA from 9 species